GCAAACUGAAUGAGAGGGGAGAACACAAAAAUAACAAAACACAGGAGGCGAGGCGCGAACCCGGAUCGCCUAGUCACGAGGCGUUCGCGCUGCUCGCUGCGCUAUUAGAGCGCGGUUUACGGAAAUAACGCUUGCGCUUUAGAGGAGGCGUAGCCGACGCAAGCGCUCGGGAAAAACAGUGAGAUCGCUAAGGGAAAAUAAAACACAAAAAGCAGGCAAUAACAAUCGGCCGGCGUGUCACCAGCGGUGGUAAGUCCGCUGGGAAGAGCCGGUGUGAGAGUUAAAGAAAAAAGGAUUCUGCUGAGGUGCGGAUUCGAACCGGGAAUACGGCGGGAGGCAGCAGAAGCCCAACCCACACAACCAAACCGGAUCUGGGGAAUCCGCUAGGCAGAACGGCCAAAGAGGAAGAGCUGAGGAUGCGGUUGAGGCUAAUGAUAGCCAAAUGCUAACCGCAAUUCCCAGCAAGGAACGCUGCGCUGCAAAACAAAGACAGCGCGAGGGCUGUACGAAGUCGCACCACCUUUCCCUACCAGACAUGGCUGAUUGUGACUCUAGAGUGCCUCAACAAGCUGGCCAGAUACUCUCUGGGACUCUCAGUGAGGUGGCAUAGCGCAUUAGACUGCAAUCUGAGAACCCUGUUGGGGAUGUCUGAUGGCAAGAUGGCUCAGUAGGUAGCACUGUCAUCCAGAGAUGGGGACUCGAGUCGCACUACGAGAAACUCCACACAGAAAGGACCCAGACUAUUCCACCUGGGACCGAACCCGGGACCUUCUUGCUGUGAGGCGACAGUCCUACCCACCAAACCAUGUGCCGCCCUACUAUGGGUAAAACAAGAGAAGCCAGACAAGUAAAUCCAACAUUUUGCCUGUUUUUCAGCCAGACUAAGAAAGGACUAACAAACAAUUCUAAAUGGCCUUGCCCCUUCCUACCUUAGGGAAUGUAUUCAACCAUAUGUUCCCUCUCGCACCCUGCCAGAUCUUCUGGCACUGGACUUCUGUCAGUCCCGCGAUUUAAACUAAAAUCGGUGGGUUGCAGAUCGUUCAGUGCUGCUGCUCCGGAUCUUUGGAAUUCUUGACCUCAGUCUCUUUGCGGAUGUUCUACUCACUCCUCUUUCAAAACUCAAUUAAAAACCUUUCUGUUUUCUUUACACUUACUCAUAGGGUUUUGUGUACAUAUUGUAAAGCGUCCUUGGGUUUGUGAAAGGCGCUAUAUAAAUUGAACUUAUUAUUAUUAUUAUUAUUAUUAACAAACAAACAGACAGUCAGGGAGUGAGAAAACUCUGGCCAAAUCAGAGCACCAAGUACUCUUAUAAUGAGCUGGACCUGUGUGCAGUGAGUAAUGUUAGACUAGAUGCUGAGAAUAAUUUUAAGUGCAGGUUAAUAAGAGCCAAACUUUACAUCAAUCUGCGCUGCCAUCUCCCCCGCCGGCCUGCAUGGACACAUCAUAGUUGAAGCGUGCUCUUUUUGCUAGUUCAAUAAAAUGCGGUGUCACUCAUCAGUGAAAAGUAAAUUAUUUGUGAAUAAAGUAAACACAAGACAAAUGUAUAAAAAUUGCAUGAAAUUUGCAUCUUUAACAAGUGGGAUGCAGGAUAAACAACCCUGAUAAACAACUGUUUGUAUCUAACGUUCUUUAGGAUACAGAGCAAAGUGCUAUGACGUGUGUUGAGGAUUCUUCACAACAAUAAGUGGAGACCUGGAUUGUUGUGUUUAGUAAGAAUGUUUAUUCCAAAAUUGAUACUUUUGAUACAGAAAUAGUCAAUUAGUCAUAUGGAUACCAGACAAUCAGUACUACAAUCAUGCUUUCUCUGAUUAUUCACCGAUUUUUCAAAAAGUACAAUAUGAUUCAUUUUUCAUACAUCAUUUUGUGCAAAGAGAAUAUACACUAGAAAGCAUUUAUACACCAACACAAAAUAUAGAACGAUUUAUAUCUCAAGGCAUUGCACAAUUUCAGGAAUUGAGUGAGAGAUUAAGGCCAUUUUGUACAGAUAUUUUUUUAAACAUUUUUUCCCCGAAAACACUCUAUCAAUAACAAAAGAACUAGUGCAUCUCCUGUAAAACUGUACAUGCAAACAUAGUGCACGUUAUAAUAAAGAUAUGACGAGCAUACAAUAUAGUAUUUGGAUAUUUUUAGUAAACAAGUUCAUGUGAAUGCAAUCACACAUUUAACCCUCUGAUUAAACCUUUCAGAUUCACCCAUUAGCACCCACCCACACACACACACACACACAGAGAAACCUUUAUAUGUAUCUUGUUGCAUACUGUGUGUGGUUGAGCUUGGCAAACUGUGACGUUGUAAUUGUGGAGCACAGAAAAAUAAAAUGAGCUCUUGAGUAUGUA